UUUUAGCCCCGAUAAUAGCGACAUCCUUUUUUCACGCUUUUUUGCGUGGAAAAAGAUAUAGCGGCUAGCGGGAAUAGCU
rnacentral:sRNA from 1 species